rnacentral:rRNA from 1 species
AGAACGAACGCUGGCGGCAUGCCUAAUACAUGCAAGUCGAACGAACUCUUCGGAGUUAGUGGCGCACGGGUGCGUAACGCGUGGGAAUCUGCCCCUUGGUUCGGAAUAACAGUUGGAAACGACUGCUAAUACCGGAUGAUGACGAAAGUCCAAAGAUUUAUCGCCAAGGGAUGAGCCCGCGUAGGAUUAGCUAGUUGGUGAGGUAAAGGCUCACCGAAGGCAACGAUCCUUAGCUGGUCUGAGAGGAUGAUCAGCCACACUGGGACUGGAGACACCGGACCCAGUACGUCCGUACGGGAGGACAGCGAAGUAGGAAUAGUUGGACAAGUGGGACGAAA